GACGAACGCUGGCGGCGUGCUUAACACAUGCAAGUCGAACGAAGAGCGAUGGAAGCUUGCUUCUAUCAAUCUUAGUGGCGAACGGGUGAGUAACGCGUAAUCAACCUGCCCUUCAGAGGGGGACAACAGUUGGAAACGACUGCUAAUACCACAUACGAUCUAACCUCGGCAUCGAGGAUAGAUGAAAGGUGGCCUCUACAUGUAAGCUAUCACUGAAGGAGGGGAUUGCGUCUGAUUAGCUAGUUGGAGGGGUAACGGCCCACCAAGGCGAUGAUCAGUAGCCGGUCUGAGAGGAUGAACGGCCACAUUGGGACUGAGACACGGCCCAGACUCCUACGGGAGGCAGCAGUGGGGAAUCUUCCGCAAUGGACGAAAGUCUGACGGAGCAACGCCGCGUGAGUGAUGACGGCCUUCGGGUUGUAAAGCUCUGUUAAUCGGGACGAAAGGCCUUCUUGCGAAUAGUUAGAAGGAUUGACGGUACCGGAAGAGAAAGCCACGGCUAACUACGUG
rnacentral:rRNA from 1 species